rnacentral:rRNA from 1 species
GGUGGGGAUUAGUGGCGAACGGGUGAGUAACACGUGGGCAAUCUGCCCUGCACUCUGGGACAAGCCCUGGAAACGGGGUCUAAUACCGGAUACUGACCAUCUUGGGCAUCCAGGAUGUUCGAAAGCUCCGGCGGUGCAGGAUGAGCCCGCGGCCUAUCAGCUUGUUGGUGAGGUAAUGGCUCACCAAGGCGACGACGGGUAGCCGGCCUGAGAGGGCGACCGGCCACACUGGGACUGAGACACGGCCCAGACUCCUACGGGAGGCAGCAGUGGGGAAUAUUGCACAAUGGGCGAAAGCCUGAUGCAGCGACGCCGCGUGAGGGAUGACGGCCUUCGGGUUGUAAACCUCUUUCAGCAGGGAAGAAGCGAAAGUGACGGUACCUGCAGAAGAAGCGCCGGCUAACUACGUGCCAGCAGCCGCGGUAAUACGUAGGGCGCGAGCGUUGUCCGGAAUUAUUGGGCGUAAAGAGCUCGUAGGCGGCUUGUCGCGUCGGUUGUGAAAGCCCGGGGCUUAACCCCGGGUCUGCAGUCGAUACGGGCAGGCUAGAGUUCGGUAGGGGAGAUCGGAAUUCCUGGUGUAGCGGUGAAAUGCGCAGAUAUCAGGAGGAACACCGGUGGCGAA